AAGAUUUUCAUUGUCACUGUCUUUGUUGAAAUAUCAGUGAAGAAGGGAGAUUCAGUCACUCUAAACUCUGAUCUUACUAUAAUGAAGGAUGUUGAUUUGAUUCAGUGGAGGUCUGAAAUCACUUUAAUAGCUGAAAUCAAUGUAACGGUUGACAGAAUUCAACUGUAUAUGAUGAUGUUCUUGAUGGGAGAUUCAGAGACAGACUGAAGCUGGACAAUCAAACUGGAUCUCUGACCAUCACAAACAUCACAACUGAACAUGCUAGAGUUUAUAAACUACAGAUCAACAGUGUGAAAAAGAUUUUAAUUCUCUAUGUCUUUGUUGAAAUAUCAGUGAAAGAGGGAGAUUCAGUCACUCUAAACUCUGAUCUUACUGAAAUAAAAAAUUACGUGAUUCAUUGGGAUUUUUUGACUGAAAACACUUUAAUAGCUAAAAUCAAUAAACGGAUUGACAGAAUCACUGUAUAUGAUGAUGUUCUUGAUGGGAGAUUCAGAGACAGACUGAAGCUGGACAAUCAAACUGGAUCUCUGACCAUCACAAGACAUUCACAACUGAACAUGCUGGAGAUUAUGUGAUGAUAACAGGAGCAAAACCAUCAUUAAAAGCUUACAGAGUUUCUGUCUCUGUCUCUGUCCACUGUUGUGGUCCUACUGAAGCUGUGAUCCGAUUGGUCCUCUCUGCUCUGGUGGGCGUGGCUACUGUCAUUCUUCUGGUUUAUGAACAUCAGAUCCAGAAGAGCUGAACAACAUCAAGCACAUAUUCACACAUCAGGAAGUAUUGAAAUCUAAAGCAGAACGCUGAACUUUAAAUAUUCUUCAAGUGUUUUUUGUUCUUCUAUUGUUUUUCUCAUAAUAAAUACUGAUGAUUGUUUAAUCUUGUACUCUCUCUUUCAGUGAUAUAUUUUUAAAAAUGCAAUUCAAAAGGCUUUAUUGUUUAUAUUUGUUUGUCUUUAUCAAUAAAGUUUUCUCACUCUGA